rnacentral:rRNA from 1 species
GAUGAACGCUGGCGGCGUGCCUAAUACAUGCAAGUCGAGCGAACAGACGAGGAGCUUGCUCCUCUGACGUUAGCGGCGGACGGGUGAGUAACACGUGGAUAACCUACCUAUAGGACUGGGAUAACUUCGGGAAACCGGAGCUAAUACCGGAUAAUAUAUUGAACCGCAUGGUUCAAUAGUGAAAGACGGUUUUGCUGUCACUUAUAGAUGGAUCCGCGCCGCAUUAGCUAGUUGGUAAGGUAACGGCUUACCAAGGCAACGAUGCGUAGCCGACCUGAGAGGUUGAUCGGCCACACUGGAACUGAGACACGGUCCAGACUCCUACGGGAGGCAGCAGUAGGGAAUCUUCCGCAAUGGGCGAAAGCCUGACGGAGCAACGCCGCGUGAGUGAUGAAGGUCUUCGGAUCGUAAAACUCUGUUAUUAGGGAAGAACAAAUGUGUAAGUAACUAUGCACGUCUUGACGGUACCUAAUCAGAAAGCCACGGCUAACUACGUG